GGGAUGAAGUAGAAUGAUUAGUGUUUAACAAAUUGAGCAUGUCUUAAGGGUAGGGACAACCAACAUAGCAACAUGGCAAAUGAUGUUUUUGUGUAAGGUAUUCCCCCCAGCUUGAACAAGUCAAGUUUGGAUGAAUUUAAUUCAAUGUUGCAUGAUGAUUGGUUGGACAUACCUUGUUGUUAUUCUUCACUCUUUUACUUCAAGCCUGAAUCGCGAAGAUAACGGGAUUGCUUUCCUCCAAGCUGAAUGUUGACAUAGUCUUUAAUCAUGAAUCCGCACCACACAGAUGUUCUUCAAUAUUCUUGAGCUUCAAAAUGUUAGUGAUGAUUGCAGCGCUUCCAAGUUGAUGAAGAUAUCUUGAUCAUUGGGGAUUCUCUCUUUAAAUCAUGUUAUAGACAACAAAACUUGUGGCACCGAUUAAACAUUAGUAGUUGGCCACUUAAGCCUUAGUUGUCUAAGAUUUUUAGAUUUUUAUAUAUUUGGGUUUUAAUUUUUUUUAUGAAGCAAAAGGAAAUGGAUUUAUUUACUUUUAUUUAUAUUUUUUUAUUCCACCACGGUGAAUAUCCGUGUGGGCUUUUACAUACCACACAAUUUAUUCACAUGGGAUUUUAGUAUUUAAGAUGCAAUGAGUUAUAUAAAAUAUUUUUAUUAUAUUUUCUAAUGCAAUAAUAAUGCAGAAAGAUAAAUAUGUUAUGGAGAAAUGAUGAUGAAAAAUAAAUAUGCUAAAAACAAAUGCAGAAAAGAUAAAUACAAUAAACCUACUAAAGCUAGUGAUAC
rnacentral:lncRNA from 1 species